rnacentral:rRNA from 1 species
GAUGAACGCUGGCGGCGUGCUUAACACAUGCAAGUCGAGCGAUGAAGUUUCCUUCGGGAAACGGAUUAGCGGCGGACGGGUGAGUAACACGUGGGUAACCUGCCUCAUAGAGUGGAAUAGCCUUCCGAAAGGAAGAUUAAUACCGCAUAAUGUUGAAAGAUGGCAUCAUCAUUUAACCAAAGGAGCAAUCCGCUAUGAGAUGGACCCGCGGCGCAUUAGCUAGUUGGUGGGGUAACGGCCUACCAAGGCGAUGAUGCAUAGCCGAGUUGAGAGACUGAUCGGCCACAAUGGAACUGAGACACGGUCCAU